UUGGAGGGCAAGUCUGGUGCCAGCAGCCGCGGUAAUUCCAGCUCCAAUAGCGUAUAUUAAAGUUGUUGCAGUUAAAAAGCUCGUAGUUGAAUUUCGGGAUCAAAUUGUUGGUCGUGCUUCGGUACGCACUGGCAUUAUUGGUUCCUACCUUCUGAAGAACCGCGAUGUCAUUAAUUUGGUGUCGUGGGGAAUCAGGACUGUUACUUUGAAAAAAUUAGAGUGUUUAAAGCAGGCGUACGCUUGAAUACAUUAGCAUGGAAUAAUGAAAUAGG
rnacentral:rRNA from 1 species